GAUGAAGAACGUAGCGAAAUGCGAUAAGUAAUGUGAAUUGCAGAAUUCAGUGAAUCAUCGAAUCUUUGAACGCACAUUGCGCCCGCCAGUAUUCUGGCGGGCAUGCCUGUUCGAGCGUCAUUUCAACCCUCAGGCCCCCAGUGCCUGGUGUUCGGGAUCGGCCCAGCCUUCCUGUAAGGCCGCCGGCCCCGAAAUCUAGUGGCGGUCUCGCUGUAGUCCUCCUCUGCGUAGUAGCACAACCUCGCAGUUGGAACGCGGCGGUGGCCAUGCCGUUAAACACCCCACUUCUGAAAGUUGACCUCGGAUCAGGUAGGAAUACCCGCUGAACUUAAGCAUAUCAAUAAGCGGAGGA
rnacentral:misc_RNA from 1 species